rnacentral:tRNA from 1 species
AGUCUUAUAUUCAACGAUGAUUUUAAAUUGCAAAUUUAAAGGUGGGGGAACCCUAAGGCUU